CUUUCGGUAGCUCAGUUGGUAGAGCGGUGGACUGUAGAUCCAUAGGUCGCUGGUUCAAAUCCGGCCCGAAGGA
rnacentral:tRNA from 1 species